CAAGCUCGCAUCUAUGGGUCUA
rnacentral:miRNA from 14 species